rnacentral:tRNA from 1 species
CAUUAGAUGUCUGAAUUUUAAGAGUUGAUCUUUUAAAUCAAAUAUAGUAUUUUAUAAUAAUACUUCUAAUGA